AGCCCUUUGAUGCACUGUGUGUGGUCAGACCUUACGGAGCCUAAGCUGCACCUCUCUGGCCAAAGCACCUGGAUGGACAAUGCAUGUUAAACAUCCACAUUGAGCUCUAAUAUGAAUUGAGAAUCAGAGUCAUCCAAAACGAGAAAAUUCUGAGAAACAGCAAUAGCAGCCUAUGGAGACAUGACUACAAAAUGUUAUAUGGUCUUCUGGUCAGGAUUCUGGAACAGAAGAACGACAUCAGCAGUUCCUCUACUUAGACACAGAAAGAAAGGCAACUUUUUUUGUAGCGCUUUGAAUAUAACGGUGUGAACCAUCAUCUCUUGGCAAACUUUUCAAAAUGCUGAAUUUAUUUGCUUAGCUAUGAAAAUUAUUACACUUCUAAGACAAAGAAGACAAAAGAAACACAAACAUGGGUACAUCGUGGAUUUCCAAACAAAAGAAUAAGCCGAUCUCAAACAAGCAUUAACCAACCAGCAUGUUUCAUAUGAAAAAGUGAAAAUAUACUAUCUCUAUAAAUCCAUCAAAUAAAAAUAGCUUAGAGAGGAAAACAAAUACUAUUAACUAGAUAUUUGUUAUUGUGAUGCUACCCAUAAUUAACUGGGAUGUUAUUUUUAAUGACUACAUGUACAUGCUUUACAUUUAUAUUAGUAAGUGGAUCUAUUUACAUGUGUGAUUAUAUGUUUGAUGCAAGUACGUGGAUAUAUACACACACAUACAGACAAUGUAUCAUUCAAUGGAUGUUGACUAUAUUACAUGGCAAAAGUGGGUAUCUGUUUUGAGGUGUGACAAUUUCUCACAUUUAGGACCUGGAAAACUUUAGAAG